rnacentral:rRNA from 1 species
CCUACGGGCGGCAGCAGUGAGGAAUAUUGGUCAAUGGACGAGAGUCUGAAGCAGCCAAGUAGCGUGAAGGAUGAAUGCCCUAUGGGUGGUACACUUCUUUUAUAUGGGAAUAAAAUGUGCCACGUGUGGGAUUUUGUAUGUACCAUGUGAAUAAGGAUCGGCUACCUCCGUGCCAGGAGCAGCGGUAAUACGGAGGCUCCGAUCGUUAGCCGGAUGUAUGGGGUUUAAAGGGAGCGUAGGUGGAUUGUUAAGUCAGUUGUGAAAGUCUGCGGCUCAACCGUAAAAUUGCAGUUGAAACUGGUAGUCUUGAGUACAGUAGAGGUGGGCGGAAUUCGUGGUGUAGCGGUGAAAUGCUUAGAGAUCACGAAGAACUCCGAUUGCGAAGGCAGCUCACUGGACUGCAACUGACACUGAGGCUCGAAAGUGUGGGUAUCAAACAGGAUUAGAUACCCGGGUAGUC